rnacentral:rRNA from 1 species
GAUGAACGCUGGCGGCGUGCCUAAUACAUGCAAGUCGAGCGAACAGACGAGGAGCUUGCUCCUCUGACGUUAGCGGCGGACGGGUGAGUAACACGUGGAUAACCUACCUAUAAGACUGGGAUAACUUCGGGAAACCGGAGCUAAUACCGGAUAAUAUUUUGAACCGCAUGGUUCAAUAGUGAAAGACGGUUUUGCUGUCACUUAUAGAUGGAUCCGCGCCGCAUUAGCUAGUUGGUAAGGUAACGGCUUACCAAGGCAACGAUGCGUAGCCGACCUGAGAGGGUGAUCGGCCACACUGGAACUGAGACACGGUCCAGACGCCUACGGGAGGCAGCAGUAGGGAAUCUUCCGCAAUGGGCGAAAGCCUGACGGAGCAACGCCGCGUGAGUGAUGAAGGUCUUCGGAUCGUAAAACUCUGUUAUUAGGGAAGAACAAAUGUGUAAGUAACUAUGCACGUCUUGACGGUACCUAAUCAGAAAGCCACGGCUAACUACGUG